UACGAAGGGGGCUAGCGUUGCUCGGAAUUACUGGGCGUAAAGGGCGCGUAGGCGGACAGUUUAGUCAGAGGUGAAAGCCCAGGGCUCAACCUCAGAACUGCCUUCGAUACUGGCAAUCUCGAGUCCGGAAGAGGUUGGUGGAACAGCUAGUGUAGAGGUGAAAUUCGUAGAUAUUAGCUAGAACACCAGUGGCGAAGGCGGCCAACUGGUCCGGUACUGACGCUGAGGUGCGAAAGCGUGGGGAGCAAACAGG
rnacentral:rRNA from 1 species